AGUCACUGACAUUAGAUACCCGGGUAGUCCAGGGUGUAAACGCUGCAGACUUGGUGUUGGAAAUCCUUCGAGGGUAUUCAGUGCCGGAGAGAAGUUGUUAAGUCUGCUACUUGGGGAGUACGUCCGCAAGGAUGAAACUUAAAGGAAUUGGCGGGGGAGCACCACAACGGGUGGAGCCUGCGGUUUAAUUGGACUCAACGCCGGAAAUCUCACCGGAUAGGACAGACAUAUGAUAGUCGGGCUGAAGACUCUACUUGAUGAUCUG
rnacentral:rRNA from 1 species